rnacentral:rRNA from 1 species
UACGGGGGGGGCAAGCGUUGUUCGGAAUCAUUGGGCGUAAAGGGCGCGUAGGCGGUGCGGUAAGUCUGGUGUGAAAUCCCCGAGCUUAACUCGGGAUCCGCGCCAGAGACUGCCGUGCUGGAGUGUGGGAGAGGAGAGUGGAAUUUCCGGUGUAGCGGUGAAAUGCGUAGAUAUCGGAAGGAACACCUGUGGCGAAGGCGGGUCUCUGGGCCGAUACUGACGCUGAGGAGCGAAAGCGUGGGGAGCGAACAGG